rnacentral:rRNA from 1 species
CGGCGGACGGGUGAGUAACGCGUGGGUAACCUGCCUCAUACAGGGGGAUAACAGUUGGAAACGGCUGCUAAUACCGCAUAAGCGCACAGUACCGCAUGGUACGGUGUGAAAAACUCCGGUGGUAUGAGAUGGACCCGCGUCUGGUUAGGUAGUUGGUGGGGUAACGGCCUACCAAGCCGACGAUCAGUAGCCGACCCGAGAGGGUGACCGGCCACAUUGGGACUGAGACACGGCCCAA